GAUGAUGCCCAGCUUGCUGGGCGGAUUAGUGGCGAACGGGUGAGUAACACGUGAGUAACCUGCCCUUGACUUCGGGAUAACUCCGGGAAACCGGGGCUAAUACCGGAUAUGAGCCGCCUUCGCAUGGGGGUGGUUGGAAAGUUUUUCGGUCAGGGAUGGGCUCGCGGCCUAUCAGCUUGUUGGUGGGGUGAUGGCCUACCAAGGCGACGACGGGUAGCCGGCCUGAGAGGGCGACCGGCCACACUGGGACUGAGACACGGCCCAGACUCCUACGGGAGGCAGCAGUGGGGAAUAUUGCACAAUGGGCGAAAGCCUGAUGCAGCGACGCCGCGUGAGGGAUGAAGGCCUUCGGGUUGUAAACCUCUUUCAGCAGGGAAGAAGCGCAAGUGACGGUACCUGCAGAAGAAGCGCCGGCUAACUACGUGCCAGCAGCCGCGGUAAUACGUAGGGCGCAAGCGUUGUCCGGAAUUAUUGGGCGUAAAGAGCUCGUAGGCGGUUUGUCGCGUCUGGUGUGAAAACUCGAGGCUCAACCUCGAGCUUGCAUCGGGUACGGGCAGACUAGAGUGCGGUAGGGGAGACUGGAAUUCCUGGUGUAGCGGUGGAAUGCGCAGAUAUCAGGAGGAACACCGAUGGCGAAGGCAGGUCUCUGGGCCGCAACUGACGCUGAGGAGCGAAAGCAUGGGGAGCGAACAGGAUUAGAUACCCUGGUAGUCCAUGCCGUAAACGUUGGGCACUAGGUGUGGGGCUCAUUCCACGAGUUCCGUGCCGCAGCAAACGCAUUAAGUGCCCCGCCUGGGGAGUACGGCCGCAAGGCUAAAACUCAAAGGAAUUGACGGGGGCCCGCACAAGCGGCGGAGCAUGCGGAUUAAUUCGAUGCAACGCGAAGAACCUUACCAAGGCUUGACAUGCACGAGAAGCCACCAGAGAUGGUGGUCUCUUUGGACACUCGUGCACAGGUGGUGCAUGGUUGUCGUCAGCUCGUGUCGUGAGAUGUUGGGUUAAGUCCCGCAACGAGCGCAACCCUCGUCCCAUGUUGCCAGCGGGUUAUGCCGGGGACUCAUGGGAGACUGCCGGGGUCAACUCGGAGGAAGGUGGGGAUGACGUCAAAUCAUCAUGCCCCUUAUGUCUUGGGCUUCACGCAUGCUACAAUGGCCGGUACAAAGGGCUGCGAUACCGUAAGGUGGAGCGAAUCCCAAAAAGCCGGUCUCAGUUCGGAUUGGGGUCUGCAACUCGACCCCAUGAAGUCGGAGUCGCUAGUAAUCGCA
rnacentral:rRNA from 1 species